UGCCUCUCCAUCCCAGUAGACUCUCC
rnacentral:piRNA from 1 species